AUAUUCAUUUCAGAAGUGACUCUU
rnacentral:siRNA from 1 species